GCCUUGAUAUCAAAGCGUGCAUCAUCACCCAAACACGUCAUUCCCGAUGCUAUAAAAACUGUGAGAGAUAGAAGAGCCUCGUUUGUCACUCCUACACAGCUCAAGCGACGCCUUCCUCGUGUGUGCCUCCAAGGUGACCCUAUCGUGCAGUGAACCAGCGGAGGCCGUAGGUCGACACCUCUGGGACGCCUCAAGUUUAUCGGAACGAGAAGAGCGGAAGAGUUAGGACAGCCGGGCCCAUCUCUCUUCCCCACCACCACCACCACCACCACCGCCACCACUAUGACCAAGCAAACAAAGGAGGUCGUUAGUGCCACAGAAAGAGGUCACCGCCGAGGAGGGACCGUCACCCCUGCACCAGUUGCCUCAACACGGUCUGGAUAUUAAGUUGGUGACAGUCCGGACGCUUUAACUAAAUCACCUAAAUAAUAAUAAUAAUAAUAAUAAUAAUAAUAAUAAUAAUAAUAAUAAUAAUGCUGUUUUAUCCUUCAAAAUAAUCCUAGUGCUAGUUUCCCAGCAAUGAACUUCAGUACACUAACUAACUGGAUAACCAAACAAAAUAAUAAUAAAAUUUACUAUGAAUGUUCAAUAUCAUCUGGUUUUCUUAUUUACCUUAAUUCACGAUCCAUCCAUCAUCAUCUGGCUCCUGCGUUACUUCCACUUGCUCUCCUUCAACCUCAAUAUCUUGACGUGUUUAUUUCCUUUUUUUUUUUUUUUUUCCACCGUAUUUUCAGUCACCGUGGAAUUGAAGGUAUUUUUGACACAACAACCCUCCUCUCGGACAGCAGCAGCGAUACUAUUGCCUAAUGAAUACUCACUGCAGUGCUGCCAAAUGCUGCCCAGUGUUACUCAAUCAUUAGUUCGCACAAUGGAUUAAUAUUAUUCAUGAACAAAUAAAUAAAUUAGUGUUUUAGGGCAUUUACAGUGAUAUUAAUUGAUAAAUUAUUGAAAUAAUAAUUAGAUAACGUUAUAUCAUGAAAAUUAUCCUGUCAGUCUGAAAAUUCAAAACAAUUUCAGUAAAUCUACCGAUAUUUCAGAUGUGGCUACGCUGCUCCCGGUCUGCCAAUACUACCAUCGCCACAUGAAAGCUUCACGACCUCCCAUCGCAGCAGCUCGGAGCCUCGCCACUCACCCCGGCGCCAGUGAGACGGUGCAUGCGAAGCGAGAUAGCCCAGCAGAGCCCUCUAUUGGUCUGAUUUCUUUGCUCUGGCCCUAAUGGAGAGUGAUCAAGCACGUGCUGGGAAGGAGGGGAGGAAACAAAGAAAAAUAAGACGCAUUCACUUGGCAACGUGAAAUAUGAGAAUAUGUGAACGUUCGAAGGAUUUAAUUAAGUUUCAUUCUCGUUUUAUCGAAAUCAUAUGAAUUUCGUGGGGCAGCUAAGUCUGUUAUAACUCAUAGAUUCCUCGCAGUUCUGAAUUUGAUGCAUAACAGGGCAAAAUAAAUGGCAGUGAUGAUGUAGUUACGAGUUCACGAGUAAUGAUGGAAUCUACGGCGCUCAGGAGUCUUACCACAUCUCAUGGGAAGAAAAAACACUGCCCUGGAGCAAAACAAACACAUAAGUCGUCAGUCUGUUACGAGGCAGCGGUGGCGGCGGCGGCGGCGGUGGUGGUGGCGGUAGUGGUGGAGACAGUAAGUCACUGUUGCUUGGUGUGAAUAUAGUUAACAAAAUAAGAGUACAGAUUAUAAUGAUAAGGAGGACGAGGACACGGAGAACGAGGAGAUCGACCUUCACUACAGCCUCAAAUAAAAAAGCCAAGAACCGGGGUGGGUAAAAAUAACCGUGAAAAAGGCCCUUCCUCCUCCACUUCCUCCUCCUGGAGGAGGAGGAAGAGGAGGAGGAAGAAAAGGAGGAGAAAGAGGAGGAGGAAGAGGAGGAAGAGGGAGGGAAGGAGGACGUUCAGGCCUGCAACACCACAGUAGGCAGGCUGGCGCUGUUCGGGGAGUCACCUGGCUCACUGAAGGGGGAGGGCGUUCGGAAGGUAAUAUCAAGCUUUUCUCUCUUCCUAAUGCAAGAAAUAAGCUAUUUCCUUAUCGUAGUAUUAAAUCUAAGCUUCCUUUCUUCUGGUGACCUAAAAUACUUAAAACACUUUAAUAAGAGCUAAGAUCAUUUUAAAAUAAUUUAAGCUUUUUUCCGGGCCUUAUUACUGUAUUUAAACUUUCUCCUUCCAUCCACAAACCUACAAUACUCAAGACAACAUUAAAACAGCCUUAAAACACCUACAAACACUUAAAACUGCCUUGAAACACUAAAAAAUGGAUUCUCACCUCGUAUCUCGAAGCCUCAGCUCAAAUAUUCAAUGAAGGAUGGUCUCGCUCUCUCUCUCUCUCUCUCUCUCUCUCUCUCUCUCUCUCUCUCUCUCUCAGUAGUUGCACUUUAUAAAACACAUUAUAAACAAAAAAAGUCCUGCACUUUCUGAGUCCCUAGGAAGGAGAGAGCGCAAAACUCACCCAAACACACCCAAAACACACUCAAAACAUCCAAAACACACUCAAAACAUCCAAAACACACUCAAAACACUCUCAAGAUCCCAAAAUACCCACAAAACUCACUCAUCAACACUCCAAAACACACCUAAAACGCACCAAAAUACCUGCAAAACUCAAACAAACACACUCAAAACAUCCAAAACACACUCAAAACACUCUCAAUACACCAAAAUACCCACAAAACUCACUCAAACACACUCAAAACACCCAAAACACAUCCAAAACACCCCAAAAUACCCACAAAACUCAUCCAAACACACGCAAAACACGCUUAAAUCAUCCAAAACACCCAUAUCACCACAGAAUACGGCCUGCACGCACCCAAACGCACCCAGAACAUCCCCACACACACUCAAAUACACCCAAAAGACCCUGCACACACCCAAACUCAGCCAAAAUACUUAAAACACCCAAAAUAUACCCAAGACACAAUUUCAUCACCUAUAUAUACACCCAAACACACCAAAGCACUCCACUAUGCACUCAAAACAUUCCACAACACUCAAAACACGUAAAAUACGCUUAAAAGCAACCUAACUACACUUAAACAUCCUAAAUUCACCCAAAAUACACUGAUAACAGCUAAUAUACACCCAAAACACACCUAAGACACACUCAAAACACCCACAACACUCUUAAAUACACCCAACAUAUACUUAAAUCACCCAAAACACACCAGAUAUUACAAAGAAUGGCAGCGCAGGAAGGGAAACUAAGCUAAAGAUUGUCUUCUUAACGUUUAUAUGUUUUGCUUCCUCCUACUUUUACUCCGUUUUUCCUUAUUUCUUCCUCCUCCUCCUCCAUUUCUCUUAUUUUCCUCCUUCUACUACUAAUAUCUACGUACCUGAGUUUAUAAACAGCUGGAAAUACCUGGAAAACACUGGAAAUUACUGUAAAUAUUGACCAAGAGACACUGGUGCCGGGCAACUCCCCAACCGUUGAUGACGUCACAGGCCCAGCCACUGGCCUACGUACGUAACGUAUUUUAUUUUAAAAUUGACCCCUAGAAAAAAUGAAGCUAGGCUGGAAUGCAUUAUAUUUUCUGAAUUGACAAUUACUUUAAUUAAUAUUCACAAUAUCAAAACAUCUCCAGCCUGAGUAGUUGUAAAGAAAUAUGAACAGAAAUAUGGAAAAAGUGUUGGAACCUUUGACACCAUUAAAACCAUUCAAAAGUCCGCCCAUUUCACUUUGCACCAUUAAAAAAACAUUUUAAAAAAUCUGAACUAUUUUUUCAAACAAUGCAAAGUUAGUUACAAGAUGAAAUAGAAAAAUAAAGAAUGUAAAAAAUGGCCAAAUCACCACUUUUAACGGGAUUAAAAACCAUUGCAAAAUGCACAUACUCAACUCAGCAGGAACGCAAAACAUUAUAAAAAUCAUAAACGAUUUUUUAAAGUAAUAAAAGCUUCACUACAGCCUCAAAUAAAAAAGCCAAGAACCGAGGGGGGGUAAAAAUAACCGUGAAAACGGCCCUAUAUUUACGUUAAAAAACUGCAGAAAAUUCAGUCCAUUUACUUCACUGAAGCAAGAAAAACACUUCAACAGCAACGAAAUAUUUUUACAAACCAUAAAAACUUACUAUAAAAGCCAAAUAAAUUAAUUAAGGAAAAUAUAGAAAAAAUAUUGGAACCCACAGGCCGGAACAGAUCCUCGGCCCCGACCUCAGUGGAGGAGCCGGCGGCCAUGUUGCCUUAUUUAUUGCUUCAUGACACCAAAACUAGGCAAUGGCGGAUAUAUCUCACCAGCGGAUAUGAACGCUAGACAAGUGACUCUAUCUUGUGACAUGUUAGCCUUACAAUAACCGAGAGACGAAGCAAAUAAUGACUGAAUACACUGACGACCUGCCUGUACCUCCGCUGACGGCUUGUUUACAUAUUGACGAUUCUUCAAUAUUCGCAUAAAUUUCCAGCUGUUUCCAGACUCAGACGUAAACAAAACCUAAAAAUAAAUAAAUAACCCCAUAAAAUACCUAAAUACCGAACAAAAACUUUAAUAAACCGCUACUAGACACUACAGGGAGCAUGAAGGUGGUGCUGGGAAGGCAGUAAGGCUGAUUGAGGGUAG